ACGGAGGGUGCAAGCGUUGUUCGGAAUUAUUGGGCGUAAAGCGCGUGUAGGCGGUCUGUUAAGUCUGAUGUGAAAGCCCCGGGCUCAACCCGGGAAGUGCAUUGGAUACUGGCUGACUUGAGUACGGGAGAGGAAAAUGGAAUUCCGAGUGUAGGGGUGAAAUGCGUAGAUAUUAGGAAGAACACCGAUGGCGAAGGCAGCUUCCUGGAUCGUUACUGACGCUGAGGCGCGAAAGCGUGGGGAGCAAACAG
rnacentral:rRNA from 1 species